rnacentral:rRNA from 1 species
ACAAGCCCUGGAAACGGGGUCUAAUACCGGAUACGAGUUUCACAGGCAUCUGUGAUUCUGGAAAGCUCCGGCGGUGCAGGAUGAGCCCGCGGCCUAUCAGCUUGUUGGUGAGGUAACGGCUCACCAAGGCGACGACGGGUAGCCGGCCUGAGAGGGCGACCGGCCACACUGGGACUGAGACACGGCCCAGACUCCUACGGGAGGCAGCAGUGGGGAAUAUUGCACAAUGGGCGAAAGCCUGAUGCAGCGACGCCGCGUGAGGGAUGACGGCCUUCGGGUUGUAAACCUCUUUCAGCAGGGAAGAAGCGAGAGUGACGGUACCUGCAGAAGAAGCGCCGGCUAACUACGUGCCAGCAGCCGCGGUAAUACGUAGGGCGCAAGCGUUGUCCGGAAUUAUUGGGCGUAAAGAGCUCGUAGGCGGCUUGUCGCGUCGGUUGUGAAAGCCCGGGGCUUAACCCCGGGUCUGCAGUCGAUACGGGCAGGCUAGAGUUCGGUAGGGGAGAUCGGAAUUCCU